CACCCAGGACGGUGGAUCACUCGGCUCGUGGGUCGAUGAAGAACGCAGCAAAUUGCGCGUCGACAUGUGAACUGCAGGACACAUGAACAUCGACGUUUCGAACGCACAUCGCGGUCCAUGGAUUCCGUUCCCGGGCCACGUCUGGCUGAGGGUCG
rnacentral:rRNA from 1 species